GUUCGAACUCCUGACCCGGAGGUCGGUGGAAUUUGAUAUCACCAUUCGAUAGAAGUAACCACUGAGCUACAUCGCUACCGUCACUUCAGAGCCCAAGUUGGAUGAAGUGUCCCAGAAGUGAACCUCAGCACUUUGCAGUUAACCUUUUUUCUAACGUCGCCUUUUCCCUGUACAUCUGUGUCUGCUUAAUGUCAAAGUUACAACAAACUGUUGUCUCUAGCUUUUGUAUGUGAGAGUAGAGCUGUUUCAGUAGCUGGAUAUUUUAAGGGAAUGGAAGCUAACGCAUUAGAUGUACAUUUUGGCAGACAAAGUGAACUUAGCGCUGUGAAAUAAGCUUUGUGCAGAUUGAUCCAUGGCUGAGCUGAAUGUGAAUGAAUAAAAACAAUAAAUUCCAGUUCAUAUGUCUUAUUA